GCUUCUGUCUCUCCGUCUCGGGCCCCGCCCCUCUGUGGGUCUCCUGCCCGCGGCCGCCAUGUUUCUUGAGGGCGGAAGUGCAGCGAGAGGCGGGAAGACUGGGGGGGAGGGGCCGGGCGGCGCUCUUUCCUGUCAGAAGGAAGGAAGGAAAGAAGGAAGGAGAGAGAGAGAGAGAGAGAGAGAGAGAGAGAGAGAGAGAGAGAGAGAGAGGAGUAUUUAUACCCCGCCCUUCUCGCCCCGAAGGGGACUCAGAGCGGCUUACAGAACACGCAUACGGCAAACAUUCAGUGCCUGAUUCUACAAUUAACAAGGACAGACAACGCAGACACAGACGCAUAACCCGGACACCUCCCUCGGCAGAGAGGGCCGUCCUGCGGAAAGAAGGGCGUCUGCAGGGAGGGAUUGGCGGAGGCCGUGCAGAAGAAGCUCCAGGCCGAAGUGGAGAAGGACCAGCAGGUGCCAAAAGGUAACUUCUGAAAAAGCUCUGCAAAGAAUACGUUGUGAGAGCUUUGCCCAAGGAGUGCUCUAAGUCUAAAGGGACUUCAAAAUACACAGCAAUGACAACAAGAAAAAAUAAGUAGUAAAAAUAUAUUUCAAGCUACAAACCUAUGCAGUUAAGAGGAGGAAAUAAGAUUGUGCUGAAAAAAGAGAGGCUUGGGAAAGCGAGCAGAAGGCUACAGCAAUACAAAGACUGUGCUGCUCAGGAGGUUAUAUCUGUGAACGCCUGGCAUAAUAUUUGAAUUAUAAAUAUAAAAGAAUGGCAAGUCCUCUACCUCCCUAUCCUAGAUCACACACAGGGGAGAAGUUACAUCAGUGUCUGGAAUGUGGGAAACAAUUUGAUUGCAAAAGUUCUCUUACUGUACAUGAACGGACCCACACAGGGGAGAAGCCAUAUGAAUGUGUGGAAUGUGGAAAGAGCUUCAGUCGGAGUGACAAAUUACGUUCCCAUCAAAGGACCCACACAGGGGAGAAACCCUAUAAAUGCAUAGAAUGUGGAGAAAGCUUCAGUCGGAGUGACAGUCUACGUUCCCAUCAAAGGACCCACACAGGGGAGAAGCCAUAUAAAUGCAUGGAAUGUGGAGAAAACUUCAGUCACAGUGGCAGUCUAUGUUCCCAUCAAAGGACCCACACAGGGGAGAAGCCCUCUAAAUGCAUGGAAUGUGGAGAAAACUUCAGUCACAGUGGCAGUCUACGUUCCCAUCAAAGGAAGCACACAGGGGAGAAGCCCUAUAAAUGCAUAGAAUGUGGAGAAAAUUUCAGUCGGAGUGACAGUCUACGUUCCCAUCAAAGGAAGCACACAGGGGAGAAGCCAUAUAAAUGCAUAGAAUGUGGAGAAAGCUUCAGUCAAAGUGGCAGUCUACGUUCCCAUCAAAAGACCCACACAGGGGAGAAGCCACAUAAAUGCGUAGAAUGCGGAAAGAGCUUCAGUCACAGUGGCAAUCUACGUUCCCAUCAAAGGACUCACAUAGGGGAGAAGCCAUAUGAAUGUGUGGAAUGUGGAAAGAGCUUCAGUCGGAGUGACAAAUUACGUUCCCAUCAAAGGACCCACACAGGGGAGAAACCCUAUAAAUGCAUAGAAUGUGGAGAAAGCUUCAGUCGGAGUGACAGUCUACGUUCCCAUCAAAGGACCCACACAGGGGAGAAGCCAUAUAAAUGCAUGGAAUGUGGAGAAAACUUCAGUCACAGUGGCAGUCUACGUUCCCAUCAAAGGAAGCACACAGGGGAGAAGCCCUAUAAAUGCAUAGAAUGUGGAGAAAGCUUCAGUCGGAGUUACAGUCUACGUUCCCAUCAAAGGAAGCACACAGGGGAGAAGCCAUAUAAAUGCAUAGAAUGUGGAGAAAGCUUCAGUCAAAGUGGCAGUCUACGUUCCCAUCAAAGGACCCACACAGGGGAGAAGCCAUAUAAAUGCAUAGAAUGUGGAAAGAGCUUCAGUCAGAGUGACAAGCUACGUUCCCAUCAAAGGACCCACACAGGGGAGAAACCCUAUAAAUGCAUAGAAUGUGGAGAAAGCUUCAGUCGGAGUGACAGUCUACGUUCCCAUCAAAGGACCCACACAGGUGAGAAGCCAUAUAAAUGCAUAGAAUGUGGAGAAAGCUUCAGUCAGAGUGGACAUCUACGUUCCCAUCAAAGGACCCACACAGGGGAGAAGCCAUAUAAAUGCAUAGAAUGUGGAGAAAGCCUCAGUCAGAGUGGCAGUCUAUGUUCCCAUCAAAGGACCCACACAGAGGAGAAGUCACCUUAAUGCACGGAAUAGGAACAGAGCUUUAGAAAAAGUUCAGCAUACAGUAGACAUCACAGAACUCAUGUACCUCUAGAGGAGACGGGCCUUUGAGUUUCCGAAUCUAUAAAAACACAUUGGAAGGAAAGAGGAAGGCCAGCACCUUGCUCUCUCUCCACCAUGAAUCGGAGUUUGUGUGGCCUUGGUUGACGGCUACUGGGAGCAGGUGUCACUCAGAAUGGCAGCAAGCUUGGAAGGGGUUCACCUAACCUCCUCCGCAAAGAGACCCAUCGCAGGCUUCUAGGAUGAUGUGUGAAGGUUUGCUGAAAUGAGCAGCAGCAGAGAUCUCUGGAUUAAAGGGUUCUGAAAAAGAAUAGCUCUUUGGUUGCAGAUAACGUCAUAUCUUCAUACUCCUGCCUUAUUUCUUGGCUCUUCUGCAUUCAAUGGCAUCAAUUGUUUCCCAUGCAUGUGUACUGUAUGUACUGUGAUCUGUCCUGAGUCCCUUGGUUGAAAUUUUGGGUGCUAGCCCUGUACUUUUAACCCUUUUCUGGACUUUGUUGUAUCCUGAAUCAUUGACUCUAAAUUCUGGACUGACGUCUAGGUUUCGUAUAUGGACUUGGACUUUGUUUGUAUCCCUGACUUUCUGGCUUGACUUUGGGACUCUAAAUUCGGUUUGUACUCUUGAUUUCUUGGUUGUUGUUUUAUCAACUCAGCUGAAUGAACUCCUGGCAUGUGACUGUUGGGACUGUGACCUUGGUUCUUGUUAAUUUUCACUCCUGACCUGUAUCUGCAGUACUCAACUUGUCCGCAAUAAUUGGACUCUUGACCUGCACUUGUAUUCAUUGUUCCUUCAACUGUGUUGCUCCAAUUAUUUUAGCUCAGUGGCUCCCAACCUUUUUUUAAACUAGGGAUCAUUUGACAAGGGACCACUCUCCAAAAUUAGUACCAGAAGGGUUAUAAAUCAGUUUUUGGUCAACUUUAGAUUUGGUUUGGUUAUUUGGAGUGAUGAUUCAGAAAAUUGCAUUGGAUAGACCACGUCAGCUCUCAUUCCUGAUAUGCCAUCCAGUUAGUCGUCAUCUGCUCGCCCACAGAAAACCAUAUUUAAUAAUCCUCAGGACUAUAAGAGGGUUUCGCGAGACCAGUCACUCUCAUUGUAAUGCUGUAGUAACUGUGAGGCUGUGAACCCUAUUUUAGUUCUUGCGGACCACUGGUGGUCCAUGGACCCCAGGUUGGGAACCACUGUUUUAGCUGGACUGAAGACUUUAGUUUUCCUAUAAAAUAAUAUGGUCUUGGCUUGUCUUGUGUUUGUUUAAUAAACCUCAGACUUUAUACCGAGAGAGCCCUGGAACAUGAGACCAUCAGCCUUGCUUUGUGUGUACUUAUCCCUGUGUAGAGUGAAACCCUUUCUGGAUAUGAGACUGUUCAAUCCCCACCUUUGGCAAAGGGUCCAUUAGGACACACAGUAUCCCUCCCCAACUGCAGAGAAUGGAAGACAAAAAAUGACUACAACGACUGAUGAAGAUUCAUGAAUCCGUUGAGAUGGACAUAUUAACUACAUUGAUGAAGUAUAGAACCGCAUUGAAAGGAAAUAAGAGUAAAUAGAGAUACAAAUCAUAUAGUGAGUGAGUUUUGUAAAUUAGCAUUUGAUGUCAGUUAGUUUUGUUCUUAUUGUGCAAGGUGUGUGUCCUUGUUCCCUUUAUAUUUGUUAAAUAGUCCUUUUUAAAAAAAAAUGUACCAAAAUUAUUAUUUGUAUAAAAUAUUGUUUUUAAAUACCAAAA